rnacentral:rRNA from 1 species
ACUUAAAUUGAAGAGUUUGAUCAUGGCUCAGAUUGAACGCUGGCGGCAGGCCUAACACAUGCAAGUCGAGCGGUAGCACAGAGAGCUUGCUCUCGGGUGACGAGCGGCGGACGGGUGAGUAAUGUCUGGGAAACUGCCUGAUGGAGGGGGAUAACUACUGGAAACGGUAGCUAAUACCGCAUAAUGUCGCAAGACCAAAGUGGGGGACCUUCGGGCCUCAUGCCAUCAGAUGUGCCCAGAUGGGAUUAGCUAGUAGGUGGGGUAACGGCUCACCUAGGCGACGAUCCCUAGCUGGUCUGAGAGGAUGACCAGCCACACUGGAACUGAGACACGGUCCAGACUCCUACGGGAGGCAGCAGUGGGGAAUAUUGCACAAUGGGCGCAAGCCUGAUGCAGCCAUGCCGCGUGUGUGAAGAAGGCCUUCGGGUUGUAAAGCACUUUCAGCGGGGAGGAAGGCGUUAAGGUUAAUAACCUUGGCGAUUGACGUUACCCGCAGAAGAAGCACCGGCUAACUCCGUGCCAGCAGCCGCGGUAAUACGGAGGGUGCAAGCGUUAAUCGGAAUUACUGGGCGUAAAGCGCACGCAGGCGGUCUGUCAAGUCGGAUGUGAAAUCCCCGGGCUCAACCUGGGAACUGCAUUCGAAACUGGCAGGCUAGAGUCUUGUAGAGGGGGGUAGAAUUCCAGGUGUAGCGGUGAAAUGCGUAGAGAUCUGGAGGAAUACCGGUGGCGAAGGCGGCCCCCUGGACAAAGACUGACGCUCAGGUGCGAAAGCGUGGGGAGCAAACAGGAUUAGAUACCCUGGUAGUCCACGCCGUAAACGAUGUCGAUUUGGAGGUUGUGCCCUUGAGGCGUGGCUUCCGGAGCUAACGCGUUAAAUCGACCGCCUGGGGAGUACGGCCGCAAGGUUAAAACUCAAAUGAAUUGACGGGGGCCCGCACAAGCGGUGGAGCAUGUGGUUUAAUUCGAUGCAACGCGAAGAACCUUACCUGGUCUUGACAUCCACAGAACUUUCCAGAGAUGGAUUGGUGCCUUCGGGAACUGUGAGACAGGUGCUGCAUGGCUGUCGUCAGCUCGUGUUGUGAAAUGUUGGGUUAAGUCCCGCAACGAGCGCAACCCUUAUCCUUUGUUGCCAGCGGUUAGGCCGGGAACUCAAAGGAGACUGCCAGUGAUAAACUGGAGGAAGGUGGGGAUGACGUCAAGUCAUCAUGGCCCUUACGACCAGGGCUACACACGUGCUACAAUGGCAUAUACAAAGAGAAGCGACCUCGCGAGAGCAAGCGGACCUCAUAAAGUAUGUCGUAGUCCGGAUUGGAGUCUGCAACUCGACUCCAUGAAGUCGGAAUCGCUAGUAAUCGUAGAUCAGA